rnacentral:tRNA from 1 species
GCGGUCGUGGUCUAGUCUGGUUAGGACACAGUCAUCUAAGGUGUAAGCCUUCCAAGCCUGCAAUCCCGGGUUCGAAUCCCGGCGGCCGCA